rnacentral:rRNA from 1 species
CUUUAGGUCUCCUGAAGGAACGUUGAAGACGACGACGUUGAUAGGCCGGGUGUGUAAGCGCAGCGAUGCGUUGAGCUAACCGGUACUAAUGAACCGUGAGGCUUAACCUU